AUCCAGCUGACGAGUCCCAAAUAUGACGAACCGCGCUUCCUGGAU
rfam:Schistosoma rodhaini strain Burundi genome assembly, scaffold: SROB_scaffold0000854